rnacentral:rRNA from 1 species
GGAAUAUUGGACAAUGGGCGAAAGCCUGAUCCAGCCAUGCCGCGUGUGUGAAGAAGGUCUUCGGAUUGUAAAGCACUUUAAGUUGGGAGGAAGGGUAGUAACUUAAUACGUUGCUCAUUUGACGUUACCGACCGAAUAAGCACGUGCUAACUUCGCUCCAGCAGCCGCGGUAAUCCGAAGGGUGCAAGCGUUAAUCGGAAUUACUGGGCGUAAAGCGCGCGUAGGUGGUUCAGUAAGUUGGAUGUGAAAUCCCCGGGCUCAACCUGGGAACUGCAUCCAAAACUGCUGAACUAGAGUACGGUAGAGGGUGGUGGAAUUUCCUGUGUAGCGGUGAAAUGCGUAGAUAUAGGAAGGAACACCAGUGGCGAAGGCGACCACCUGGACUGAUACUGACACUGAGGUGCGAAAGCGUGGGGAGCAAA